AGUUUGAUCCUGGCUCAGGACGAACGCUGGCGGCGUGCCUAAUACAUGCAAGUCGAGCGAUGAUUAGAGAUAGCUUGCUAUCUUUAUGAAGAGCGGCGAACGGGUGAGUAACGCGUGGGAAAUCUGCCGAGUAGCGGGGGACAACGUUUGGAAACGAACGCCAAUACCGCAUAACAAUGAGGAUCGCAUGAUUCUUAUUUAAAAGAAGCAAUUGCUUCACUACUUGAUGAUCCCGCGUUGUAUUAGCUAGUUGGUAGUGUAAAGGACUACCAAGGCGAUGAUACAUAGCCGACCUGAGAGGGUGAUCGGCCACACUGGGACUGAGACACGGCCCAGACUCCUACGGGAGGCAGCAGUAGGGAAUCUUCGGCAAUGGGGGCAACCCUGACCGAGCAACGCCGCGUGAGUGAAGAAGGUUUUCGGAUCGUAAAACUCUGUUGUUAGAGAAGAACGUUAAGUAGAGUGGAAAGUUACUUAAGUGACGGUAUCUAACCAGAAAGGGACGGCUAACUACGUGCCAGCGGCCGCGGUAAUACGUAGGUCCCAAGCGUUGUCCGGAUUUAUUGGGCGUAAAGCGAGCGCAGGUGGUUUCUUAAGUCUGAUGUAAAAGGCAGUGGCUCAACCCAUUGUGUGCAUUGGAAACUGGGAGACUUGAGUGCA
rnacentral:rRNA from 1 species